GAUUACCUGAGAUGUUUGCCGGCGGAUUAAGUCCCUGAGCCGAUACUGAAAACUUAAUGAAUUGGCGUCCUGUUGUUGGUGUGUAUGCUUGCUAGCCAUGCAAGAAACCUAAAAACAAUAUUAGCCGAUUCCCUUGAACCGUAGGGUUCAAGGACCGAACAUCCGCAGCGGCAUCUCGGGGCUAUU
rnacentral:other from 18 species